rnacentral:lncRNA from 1 species
GGAGCUGCAGGGAGUGAGCGAGAGGAGGAUAGGAAAGAGGAGAGAGGGAGAGCUUGAGGGAGAAGGGGGCUCGCUGUGUUUACACCAGACACAGGCUUCGAGCGUCCAUCCCGGACUCUGACUCGCGCUCUCCAAGUGGAGAGCUAAGCUGUUCUGGGAUCCGUCCAUCGUGUGGCAGGAGCCUCAUCUGUCCUGGUUGCGGGAGCUGGGAGAGCCCAGAGGGAAACCGAGGGAAGCAAGCGGCGCGUAUUACUAGAGAGCGCGAGCAGAAGGGGUCGAGAGCCAAGCGUGUGAGGGAGCAUCAAGCGCGGCGGAGACAUGAGGACCUACUGGCUGCACAGCGUCUGGGUGCUGGGCUUCUUCCUGUCCCUCUUCUCAUUGCAAGGUAAGGGGGGAUUCCCUAACCCCUCG